UACAGAGGUCCCAAGCGUUGUUCGGAUUCACUGGGCGUAAAGGGUGCGUAGGUGGUUAGGUAAGUCCGAUGUGAAAUCUCCAGGCUCAACCUGGAAAUGGCAUUGGAUACUAUCUAGCUUGAGGAGUGGAGGGGGGGGGACUGGAAUUCUCGGUGUAGCAGUGAAAUGCGUAGAUAUCGAGAGGAACACCAGUGGCGAAGGCGAGUCCCUGGACACUUCCUGACACUGAGGCACGAAAGCUAGGGGGAGCAAACAGG
rnacentral:rRNA from 1 species